GUCCUUGUUUCAGCAGCACAUAUACUAAAAUUGGAAUGAUAAAGAGAAGAUUAGCAUUUCCCCUGAACAAGGAUGACAUGCUAAAAGGAUAGAACAAAAUAUCUGAU